rfam:Bacillus circulans strain RIT379 contig3, whole genome shotgun sequence.
CGUACAAACUGGUCGACUAAGAUCGCCACGUCCUGUGGCGACGUCGACACUAGUACAUCCUAUACG